UUUUUUCUAGUUUGUUUGCAUUCCACUGUGUAGAUGCCUUGCACUGUAUUCCACCAGUUCCUUGUGGAUUUACUAUUACAAAUACUGCCAUAAGACAUGAAUGUCUAAAGAAGUAAACAGCUCAUGGCACGUUUAACAAAAAGAUGACAGGCGGAUACAAAAGCUAUCCAGCAUCUUUGGGCAGCCAUUGAGAUUAUACGGAACCAGAAGCAAAUUGCCAACAUUGACCGUAUUACCAAAUUUCCAAUCAAGAUGUAAAGGGUGAAGAAUCAAAGAACAAAGAAUCAGUAACAAGUGAAAUUUAAGCCUUCAGUCAUGCAGAUUCCUAAUAUGAUUCAUAACUCAUUGUCAUGUUAUUUCUCUAAAUGCCAUGUAUAGUUUAAUGUCCAAUAAAAUCAAGUUACAUAUAUCA